rnacentral:rRNA from 1 species
GAACGCUGGCGGCAGGCCUAACACAUGCAAGUCGAACGGUAACAGGGAGCAGCUUGCUGCUUCGCUGACGAGUGGCGGACGGGUGAGUAAUGUCUGGGAAACUGCCUGAUGGAGGGGGAUAACUACUGGAAACGGUAGCUAAUACCGCAUAACGUCGCAAGACCAAAGAGGGGGACCUUCGGGCCUCUUGCCAUCGGAUGUGCCCAGAUGGGAUUAGCUUGUUGGUGGGGUAACGGCUCACCAAGGCGACGAUCCCUAGCUGGUCUGAGAGGAUGACCAGCCACACUGGAACUGAGACACGGUCCAGACUCCUACGGGAGGCAGCAGUGGGGAAUAUUGCACAAUGGGCGCAAGCCUGAUGCAGCCAUGCCGCGUGUAUGAAGAAGGCCUUCGGGUUGUAAAGUACUUUCAGCGGGGAGGAAGGGAGUAAAGUUAAUACCUUUGCUCAUUGACGUUACCCGCAGAAGAAGCACCGGCUAACUCCGUGCCAGCAGCCGCGGUAAUACGGAGGGUGCAAGCGUUAAUCGGAAUUACUGGGCGUAAAGCGCACGCAGGCGGUUUGUUAAGUCAGAUGUGAAAUCCCCGGGCUCAACCUGGGAACUGCAUCUGAUACUGGCAAGCUUGAGUCUCGUAGAGGGGGGUAGAAUUCCAGGUGUACCGGUGAAAUGCCUACAGAUCUGGAGGAAUACCGGUGGGCGAAGGCGGCCCCCUGGACGAAGACUGACGCUCAGGUGCGAAAGCGUGGGGAGCAAACAGGAUUAGAUACCCUGGUAGUCCACGCCGUAAACGAUGUCGACUUGGAGGUUGUGCCCUUGAGGCGUGGCUUCCGGAGCUAACGCGUUAAGUCGACCGCCUGGGGAGUACGGCCGCAAGGUUAAAACUCAAAUGAAUUGACGGGGGCCCGCACAAGCGGUGGAGCAUGUGGUUUAAUUCGAUGCAACGCGAAGAACCUUACCUGGUCUUGACAUCCACGGAAGUUUUCAGAGAUGAGAAUGUGCCUUCGGGAACCGUGAGACAGGUGCUGCAUGGCUGUCGUCAGCUCGUGUUGUGAAAUGUUGGGUUAAGUCCCGCAACGAGCGCAACCCUUAUCCUUUGUUGCCAGCGGUCCGGCCGGGAACUCAAAGGAGACUGCCAGUGAUAAACUGGAGGAAGGUGGGGAUGACGUCAAGUCAUCAUGGCCCUUACGACCAGGGCUACACACGUGCUACAAUGGCGCAUACAAAGAGAAGCGACCUCGCGAGAGCAAGCGGACCUCAUAAAGUGCGUCGUAGUCCGGAUUGGAGUCUGCAACUCGACUCCAUGAAGUCGGAAUCGCUAGUAAUCGUGGAUCAGAAUGCCACGGUGAAUACGUUCCCGGGCUUUGUACACACCGCCCGUCACACCAUGGGAGUGGGUUGCAAAAGAAGUAGGUAGCUUAACCUUCGGGAGGGCGCUUACCACUUUGUGAUUCAUGACUGGGGUGA